CAUGCAAGUCGAACGAGAAAGGUCUUCGGACUGAGUAAAGUGGCGAACGGGUGCGUAACACGUGAGAAUCUACCUUUUGGUGAAGAAUACCCUCGAGAAAUCGAGGCUAAUACUGCAUAAGCCCUGUGGGGGAAAGAUGGCAUUUUGCUAUCGCCGAAAGAUGAGCUCGCGGACUAUUAGUUAGUUGGUAGGGUAAAGGCCUACCAAGACUGAGAUGGUUAGCCGACCUGAGAGGGUGAUCGGCCACAUUGGGACUGAGAUACGGCCCAGACUCCUACGGGAGGCACAGUGGGGAAUAUUGCACAAUGGGCGCAAGCCUGAUGCAGCGACGCCGCGUGGAGGAAGAAGGUCUUCGGAUUGUAAACUCCUGUUAAGUGGGAAGAAAUGGUGUUCCUGAAUAAGGAAUGCAGCUGACGGUACCACUAGAGAAAGCACCGGCAAACUUCGUGCCAGCAGCCGCGGUAAUACGAAGGGUGCGAGCGUUGUUCGGAGUUACUGGGCGUAAAGGGCGUGUAGGCGGAUCUUUAAGUUACUUGUUAAAUCUCCCGGCUUAACCGGGAAUGUGCAGGUGAUACUGGAGAUCUGGAGUGCGAGAGAGAGAAGUGGAAUUCUCGGAGUAGCGGUAAAAUGCGUAGAUCUCGAGAGGAACACCAGAGGCGAAGGCGGCUUCUUGGCUCGCAACUGACGCUAAAGCGCGAAAGCGUGGGGAGCAAACAGGAUUAGAUACCCUGGUAGUCCACGCCGUAAACGAUGAUCACUAGAUAUGGGCUUUGCAUAGCGAGGUCUGUAUCGUAGCUAACGCGCUAAGUGAUCCGCCUGAGUAGUACGGUCGCAAGACUAAAACUCAAAGAAAUUGACGGGGGUCCGCACAAGCGGUGGAACAUGUGGUUUAAUUCGACACUACGCGAGGAACCUUACCUAGGCUUGACAUGUAACUGCUACUGGUAGAAAUACUGGGUUUUGUAGAAAUACGAACGGUUACACAGGUGCUGCAUGGCUGUCGUCAGCUCGUGUCGUGAGAUGUUGGGUUAAGUCCUUUAACGAGCGCAACCCUUGUCGUCAGUUGCCAUCAGGUAAAGCUGGGCACUCUGGCGAGACUGCCUUGGAAACAAGGAGGAAGGUGGGGAUGACGUCAAGUCCUCAUGGCCCUUAUGUCUAGGGCUACACACGUGUUACAAUGGACAGGACAAAGGGAAGCAAUGCCGAGAGGCGGAGCAAACCUCAAAAACCUGUUCUAAGUUGGGAUUGAAGUCUGCAAUUCGACUUCAUGAACCUGAAAUCGCUAGUAAUCGCAUAUCAGAACGAUGCGGUGAAUACGUUCUCGGACCUUGUACACACCGCCCGUCAAACCAUGAAAGCCGUCAGCACCCGAAACUGUUUUAGCUAACCUGAAAGGGAGGCGUGCAGUGAAGGUGAGGAGGGUGAUUGGGGUUAAGUCGGAACAAGGUA
rnacentral:rRNA from 1 species